rnacentral:lncRNA from 1 species
CCUCCCUCAGGACCAGCCCGGAAGUCUCUCCAAGAGCCCCAAAGUCCAGGAACCCCCACCCAAGGAUUCAGACACAGAACCCACAACCCAGGGCCCCUCGGAACGAGGAAAGGUUAUCAGGACAGGACGCAGGGAGCCAGAAGACCAUCUGAAGGAAGCCUGCUUCCAACGGGCCCAGCCUCCAGCCACCGCUCCUGGGGCAGCGCCAUUGCUCCUGGCUCUCAGGCUGCCAGUCUCCCACACCGACGCUCUACUGCCCGCAUCUCGGCCAGCUGGGUCACCCAGCCCCUUUCGACUCUCCCCUGGCACGCAGCCUUCUCCUUCACUCGGCCUGCCUCGCUGCUGCUGUAAUUCCUCUUGUCUCCUGGGAGAAAUGAGAUUGCUUUCCCAGGACUUCCACAUCCCACUUCUAUCAGGUUUCACCAACAGGGAGGAAGCCCUGUCAAGAUCUGAAGAAAUACGGACUUUAAUGAAGAGUUUUCCUUUUGCUACAAGUGAGACCCGGGGAAACAUCCCAACAACGA